rnacentral:lncRNA from 1 species
UUACAAUUGUGACAAGAUUAUGUCGAUUUCACCGAUUUAAAAUCAUUCGAACCAAUUUCAAAAAUAAUUCACAUAUUUCUCGGUUCAAAGUCGAGCGCAUUUUCAAACACCUUUGUAAGACGAUCGCUUUUAAAGCAUCGCCAUCAACCUCACAUGGCUUACUCUUGGGCCUUCUUACAAUGAGACCUAUUCGAUUUUAAUUAAUCGAUUAGAUGAAAU